rnacentral:tRNA from 1 species
GCAAUGGUGGCUCAGUGAUGUAAUUCUCGCCUUCCAUGCAGAAGACCCAGGUUUGAUUCCUGGCCAAUGCA